rnacentral:rRNA from 1 species
CCUACGGGCGGCAGCAGUGGGGAAUAUUGCUCAAUGGGCGAAACCCUGAUCCAGCGACGCCGCGUGAGCGAAGAAGUCUUUCCGUGUUUAAAACUCUAUCAGCAGGGGAGAAAAUGACGGUACCUGAGUAAGAAGCUCCGGCUAAAUACGUGCCAGCAGCCGCGGUACUCCGUAGGUAGCAAGCGUUAUCCGGAUUUACUGGGCGUAAAGGGAGCGUAGGCGGGCUGCCAAGUCUGAUGUGAAAUACCGGGGCUCAACCCCGGGGCUGCAUUGGAAACUGGCAGGCUGGAGUGCCGGAGAGGCAGGCGGAAUUCCUAGUGUAGCGGUGAAAUGCGUAGAUAUUAGGAGGAACACCAGUGGCGAAGGCGGCCUGCUGGACGGUGACUGACGCUGAGGCUCGAAAGCGUGGGGAGCAAACAGGAUUAGAUACCCCAGUAGUC